UUUUAUGAAUGGACUCGAACCAGUGACCACCCGAAUGAUUGACGGGCACUCAACCGAUUGAGCUAUCCGGAC